CACGUAGGCACCAAGCGUUAUCCGGAUUUAUUGGGCGUAAAGAGCUCGUAGGCGGUUCGGUAAGUCGGGUGUGAAAACUCUGGGCUCAACCCAGAGAGGCCACUCGAUACUGCUGUGACUAGAGUGCGGUAGGGGAGCGGGGAAUUCCUGGUGUAGCGGUGAAAUGCGCAGAUAUCGAGAGGAACACCUGCGGCGAAGGCGGGUUGCUGGGCUGACACUGACGCUGAUGCGCGAAAGCUAGGGGAGCGAACGGG
rnacentral:rRNA from 1 species